CGUGAGUGUUCACCAGGGAGCAGAGGACAGGGAACUCACCACACAGACCUGCUAAUCAUGGACAGGCUGCAGGCCCAAAGUCAGACAAUAGUCUCAGUGCUGCAGGAACGGGCCACACAGGCUGCAGGUCCAGAGAAAGAGAAGUUCAGAAAAGGAGCCGGGGAAGG